rnacentral:lncRNA from 1 species
AGACAGGGAUGCCGAUCAGGGGACGGAUUAGGCAGCGGCUUUGCGUCCGCCGAUUGGUUUGCGGGUGGUUAGCAUGUAGCUUUGGGGAGUCCGGCCGGCCGGCCGGCCCCGGGCGCGGCGUGAUCGAGUAGCACGCAGGAACCUCGGGCGCCACGUGCCCGGUUGCCGACGGGUCCCGGUCGCGUUUACUCCUACGAUCUGAGCUUCGACGUCUCAUGUUGGGCUCCGAUCUGACUAAACGUCAUGGGCCACAACAUGCUAGCUUAGGUACCCUGUGAUCAAGAUCGAAUGAUCAUCGAGGCGACGAGUCCUCACUUUUCUAGGAACCAUCAUCGAAACGCAAACUGAAAAUGCUGCGCUGAAGGAUAACUGAAUGAAUGCAGUGUCUGUAUCAUUUGGUCAGAUUGAACAGCUAGCUAGCCUCACUACUACCACCGGCCGGUACCUGUGCAUCGAUCGAUCGGUCUGUCGUGGGCUCGUGGCAGGAUGGAUCCACCAAUCGACUGCUGUCUAAGCAAUGAGCCCAUCUAUGUCUAAGCUAGAUGAGUAGAUGAAGUAGGCUUAAUGACCGUUGGGUGAAACUGCGAUCGGUCCUGCGUGACGGACGGCCCGUUGAUGAACCAGCGCGGCACAGCGCCACGCCACGCCUAACAGGCUACUACAUACGCUCUAGAGCGAUAGAGCGAGUGAGGACCAAGUCGCGCCACACAGUUUCCCUAUUUCAUCCGAUGCCUGCCGACUUGAAUCGGUCCAGUCCCAAGUCGCUGCUAGACUGUAUCACCGAUCCAGUCGAUCGGAUGGCCGCCGCGCUGGUGCAGUCACUGCUG